GUCGGGCGGACGCAGCCUUCGCCAACCCGGUCAGGUCCGGAAGGAAGCAGCCGCAACGAAUU
rnacentral:SRP_RNA from 20 species